AAAGCCAGCUAUUUCUGCUUUAGCGAUUGUGGUGUGCCCCCCCCCAAAACUAUUUGUUGGAGUUGCCCCAGCUAAACAACAUGAUACAGAGGAAAGAUUUUGAUGGAGCUGCUGGAGACAGAAUGUACAUAAAAGCCAAAGGAGACCCAUCCACCCAUUAUGAAAUUCUGAAAUGUUUCUUCUCAGAAGAAGGAGGAGUCCAAACGGUGAAGGUUGGAAGCUUUGAUACAACCAAAUCUGCUGGGAAUCAGCUGUACAUCAAUAGCAGCGCUGAUCUCUGGGGCCCUUAUUUUACAGAGCGCCCCAAGUCUCGGUGCAAUGAGCCCUGCCUGCCCGGAUACAGGAAAUACAAAAUCAAAGGGGAGCAACCCUGCUGUUAUAAAUGUGUCCCGUGUGCGGAAGGGGAAAUAUCCAACUCCUCAGGUAUGUAAUAAAGCAAAAACAACCAAAUAAUCUGAAAGGACUUCUCUGGAUUUCCCAGAUAUUUAGGUUUUCUAAGCCGUGUUCAUUUGUUUAAAUAUCACAAAAUAUAAAGGUACAAAGGUAAAAAU